rnacentral:rRNA from 1 species
AACGAACGCUGGCGGCAGGCCUAACACAUGCAAGUCGAGCGGGGACUUCGGUUCUAGCGGCGGACGGGUGAGUAACGCGUGGGAAUGUGCCCUUCUCUACGGAAUAGCCCUGGGAAACUGGGAGUAAUACCGUAUACGCCCUAUUGGGGAAAGAUUUAUCGGAGAAGGAUCAGCCCGCGUUGGAUUAGGUUGUUGGUGGGGUAAUGGCCUACCAAGCCGACGAUCCAUAGCUGGUAUGGGAGGAUGAUCAGCCACACUGGGACUGAGACACGGCCCAGACUCCUAGGGGAGGCAGGAGUGGGGAAUCUUAGACAAUGGGGGCAACCCUGAUCUCGCCAUGCCGCGUGAGUGAUGAAGGCCUUAGGGUUGUAAAGCUCUUUCAGCUGGGAAGAUAAUGACGGUACCAGAAGAAGAAGCCCCGGCUAACUCCGUG